CAUGCGAGUCGAGCGGACAGAUGCGAGCUUGCUCCCUGAUGUUAGCGGCGGACGGGUGAGUAACACGUGGGUAACCUGCCUGUAAGACUGGGAUAACUCCGGGAAACCGGCGCUAAUACCGGAUGCUUGUUUGAACCGCAUGGUUCAGACAUAAAAGGUGGCUUCGGCUACCACUUACAGAUGGACCCGCGGCGCAUUAGCUAGUUGGUGAGGUAACGGCUCACCAAGGCAACGAUGCGUAGCCGACCUGAGAGGGUGAUCGGCCACACUGGGACUGACACACGGCCCAGACUCCUACGGGAGGCAGCAGUAGGGAAUCUUCCGCAAUGGACGAAAGUCUGACGGAGCAACGCCGCGUGAGUGAUGAAGGUUUUCGGAUCGUAAAGCUCUGUUGUUAGGGAAGAACAAGUGCCGUUCAAAUAGGGUGGCACCUUGACGGUACCUAACCAGAAAGCCACGGGUAACUACGUGCCAGCAGCCGCGGUAAUACGUAGGUGGCAAGCGUUGUCCGGAAUUAUUGGGCGUAAAGGGCUCGCAGGCGGUUUCUUAAGUCUGAUGUGAAAGCCCCCGGCUCAACCGGGGAGGGUCAUUGGAAACUGGGGAACUUGAGUGCAGAAGAGGAGAGUGGAAUUCCACGUGUAGCGGUGAAAUGCGUAGAGAUGUGGAGGAACACCAGUGGCGAAGGCGACUCUCUGGUCUGUAACUGACGCUGAGGAGCGAAAGCGUGGGGAGCGAACAGGAUUAGAUACCCUGGUAGUCCACGCCGUAAACGAUGAGUGCUAAGUGUUAGGGGGUUUCCGCCCCUUAGUGCUGCAGUUAACGCAUUAAGCACUCCGCCUGGGGAGUACGGUCGCAAGACUGAAACUCAAAGGAAUUGACGGGGGCCCGCACAAGCGGUGGAGCAUGUGGUUUAAUUCGAAGCAACGCGAAGAACCUUACCAGGUCUUGACAUCCUCUGACAAUCCUAGAGAUAGGACGUCCCCUUCGGGGGCAGAGUGACAGGUGGUGCAUGGUUGUCGUCAGCUCGU
rnacentral:rRNA from 1 species